CCCUUAGAUGUUCUGGGCUGCACGCGCGCUACACUGAUGCAUGCAACGAGUUUUCGACCUUGCCUGAAAAGGUUGGGUAAUCUGUUUAACAUGUGUCGUGAUGGGGAUAGACCAUUGCAAUUAUUGAUCUUGAACGAGGAAUUCCUAGUAAACGCGAGUCAUCAGCUCGCAUUGAUUACGUCCCUGCCCUUUGUACACACCGCCCGUCGCACCUACCGAUUGAAUGUUUCGGUGAAGAUUCCGGAUAGGACUUUUUUGAUUUAUUUCAAUUCUGUCUUAAAAGCUAUCUAAACCUCAACAUUUAGAGGAAGGUGAAGUCGUAACA
rnacentral:rRNA from 1 species